rnacentral:rRNA from 1 species
AGUGAACGCUGGCGGUAGGCCUAACACAUGCAAGUCGAACGGCAGCACAGUAAGAGCUUGCUCUUACGGGUGGCGAGUGGCGGACGGGUGAGGAAUACAUCGGAAUCUACUUUUUCGUGGGGGAUAACGUAGGGAAACUUACGCUAAUACCGCAUACGACCUACGGGUGAAAGCAGGGGAUCUUCGGACCUUUCGCGAUUGAAUGAGCCGAUGUCGGAUUAGCUAGUUGGCGGGGUAAAGGCCCACCAAGGCGACGAUCCGUAGCUGGUCUGAGAGGAUGAUCGGCCACACUGGAACUGAGACACGGUCCAGACUCCUACGGGAGGCAGCAGUGGGGAAUAUUAGACAAUGGGCGCAAGCCUGAUCCAGCCAUACCGCGUGGGUGAAGAAGGCCUUCGGGUUGUAAAGCCCUUUUGUUGGGAAAGAAAAGCAGCAGGUUAAUACCCCGCUGUUCUGACGGUACCCAAAGAAUAAGCACCGGCUAACUUCGUG